AGGAAGGCUUCUUCUCUCUCCCUGUCACUUGGUGAUCAGAUCCUGGAUGAAACUUACUCGCUGGGAAAGUCUCUGACCAGCAAGAAUCUUCUCGAGCUGGCUUCCAAAGGGGGACAGAGGAACGCUAUCAACGUUGUUCUCACGUCCGCUGACGUGGCGGUUCAAGGUUUCUGUUUGAGCCGAUGUGGCACUCACGGCUCUGCCUCUUCUGCAGCUCACGUGAAGGCUGGCAAGAACUAUAAGUUCGCUUACAUAUGGGUCGGAAACUCCGAAACUCAAUGCCCGGGCCAAUGCGCGUGGCCCUUCCACCAGCCAAUUUAUGGCCCCCAGACUCCACCCUUGGUUGCUCCCAACAACGAUGUGGGAGUUGACGGUAUGGUCAUCAGCCUCGCUAGCCUCUUGGCUGGAACCGCCACCAACCCAUUUGGAAAUGGCUACUUCCAGGGUCCCGCGGAGGCGCCGCUGGAAGCUGCCUCCGCUUGUCCUGGGGUUUAUGGGAAAG
rnacentral:lncRNA from 1 species